rnacentral:rRNA from 1 species
GGACUACGGGGGUAUCUAAUCCCGUUUGCGCCCCAGGGCUUCGUCCCUCACCGUCGGAUCCGUUCUAGUCAGACGCCUUCGCCACCGGUGGUCCUUCCAGGAUUACAGGAUUUUACCCCUACCCCAGAAGUACCUCUGACCUCUCCCGGUCCCAAGUCUCCCAGUCUCCCCGGAAUUCGGACAGUUAAGCUGUCCGAUUUACCCAAGGAUUUAGAAGACCGGCUACGGACGUUUUAGGCUCAAUAAUAUCGACCACCACUAGGGGCGCGGGUAUUACCGCGGCGGCUGGCACCCGUCUUACCCGCCCCUUACUCCUCCUGUUUUUUAGACAGGAGAACAGCCAACACAAAGUGCUGGCACUUGGAAUUCCCUCGUCGGGGUUGCCCCCAUUGCGAAGUUUUCGCGCCUGCUGCACCCCAUAGG